AUCAACUUUCGAUGGUAGGAUAGAGGCCUACCAUGGUGGUAACGGGUAACGGGGUGUUAGGGCACGACACCGGAGAGGGAGCCUGAGAAACGGCUACCACAUCCAAGGAUGGCAGCAGGCGCGCAAAUUACCCAAUCCCGACACGGGGAGGUAGUGACAAUAGAUAACAAUACGGGGUUCUUUCGGAUUUCGUAAUUGGAAUGAGUACAAUUUAAAUCUCUUAACGAGGAACAAUUGGAGGGCAAGUCUGGUGCCAGCAGCCGCGGUAAUUCCAGCUCCAAUAGCGUAUAUUAAAGUUGCUGCAGUUAAAAAGCUCGUAGUUGAAUUUCGGGACCAAUAUGUCGGUCGUGCCUCGGUACGUACUGGCAUCGUUGGUUUCUCCCUUCUGACGAACCAUGAUGUCAUUUAUUUGGUGUCGUGGGGAAUCACGACUGUUACUUUGAAAAAAUUAGAGUGUUUAAAGCAGGCUCACGCUUGAAUACAUUAGCAUGGAAUAAUGAAAUAGGACGUUUGAUUCUAUUUUGUUGGUUUCUAGGAUUGACGUAAUGAUUAAUAGGGAUAGUUGGGGGCAUUAGUAUUCAAUUGUCAGAGGUGAAAUUCUUGGAUUUAUUGAAGACUAACUACUGCGAAAGCAUUUGCCAAGGAUGUUUUCAUUAAUCAAGAACGAAAGUUAGGGGAUCGAAGACGAUCAGAUACCGUCGUAGUCUUAACCAUAAACUAUGCCGACUAGGGAUCGGAUGAUGUUAAUUUUUUAAUGACUCAUUCGGCGCCUUACGGGAAACCAAAGUGUUUGGGUUC
rnacentral:rRNA from 1 species